GAUGGACGCUGGCGGCGUGCUUAACACAUGCAAGUCGAACGGAAAGGCUCCUGCUUGCAGGGGUACUCGAGUGGCGAACGGGUGAGUAACACGUGGGUGAUCUGCCCUGCACUUCGGGAUAAGCCUGGGAAACUGGGUCUAAUACCGGAUAGGACGAUGGUUUGGAUGCCAUUGUGGAAAGUUUUUCGGUGUGGGAUGAGCUCGCGGCCUAUCAGCUUGUUGGUGGGGUAAUGGCCUACCAAGGCGUCGACGGGUAGCCGGCCUGAGAGGGUGUACGGCCACAUUGGGACUGAGAUACGGCCCAGACUCCUACGGGAGGCAGCAGUGGGGAAUAUUGCACAAUGGGCGCAAGCCUGAUGCAGCGACGCCGCGUGGGGGAUGACGGCCUUCGGGUUGUAAACUCCUUUCGCUAGGGACGAAGCGCAAGUGACGGUACCUGGAGAAGAAGCACCGGCUAACCACGUG
rnacentral:rRNA from 1 species